UGCAUAUACUACCAACACACAUAUAUAUCUUUAUCUUUCCUUAUAAUAUAUAAGAAGACGUUUGGAGGGUUACUGUGCAUUUUUUUUCAACCGCUCUCUACAGGGGUAUUUUUGUCCUUCUAGGCUUUUGCUUGUGUUUUCUGUCGGAGCUAUUAGAACUGGUUGUUGCAUAUUGUAAGCCUUAGCCGAAUGUUAGUGGAACAUUGGUUGGUGUGCAGCAUUAACAAGCAGCAUUAAUGAGAUAUGAUGUUUAUUUCUAUCAGCCAGCUCAUUGUCUUGUUUAAUUCUUUUAUAAUCUUUAUAUCUUAUAAGAAGACGUUUGGAGGGUUCCUGUUCAUUGCAAUUUCAUCUGCUCUCUUCAGGGCCAUUUUUGUCCUUACAGCCUUUUGGUUGUUCUUUUUCUUGGAGCUAAGACGUUUGGAGGGUUAGUGUUCAUUACAACUUUUUGCUUUAUCCUACAACCUUCUGCUUCGUUUAUGCUUCCUUUAUUCAUGCUAUAAACUGUAAACCAUGGCUUCAACUGAUGCACUUGCACAGUCAACGAAUAAGAACAUUGUUCGCAACCGAAGAUAAAGAGAAAAAUAUGCUUCCUUAUCAGUGGAAGAAAAAGAAGCUCGUAGAGCUAAACAAAGAGAAGCUUAUCAAAAAGAGGAGAGGAAGGAAAGCUGCUGCAUCCAUGUCUUCUAUGAAUCAACAGCAAACUGAUGGUAUAGAACUUCCAGUUGGGUGUGACGUACAGCAAAACAAUGAGCACAAUAACCAACAGAGUAUUGCUGUUAAACAACUUCUGCAACAGAAUAGAAACAAAGAGACUAAUCUGCAACAAUCUAUUGCUGUCAAAAGUAAUUCUCUGUGCAAAACCAAUGGUAAAUCAAAAGGCAAGCUGAAAAAGCAUGAUUCUGUAUUUUUGACAUUUGAACAAGGUUCUUCAUCAAAAAAUUCGUCCAACUAUAAAUGCAGAAGAAUCAAUAAACUAAAUGUGUCAGGUGAUCCUCCUAUAUGCGAUAGCUGCUCUAAUUUCUUGCAUGAAACAGUUGAUAAUCUUGCAGGUAUAUCAAUGACAGUACAGCCUCAGCCAGUGGAAACCAAUGUUUCUAAUGUCAUAAAAAAUCAUCCAAAAGUGAAAAUGUAUAUAAAGAUGAGAACUUUGAUGAGACUCAGAGGCAACUACCUACAUUACUGGCCUCAAAGAUUCAAAGAUGCUUUUUUGUUGGAAGUUUUUGUUUUAAAGCCCACUUCUACAGACUGCUCGUCUCCUUCAUUAAUAUUUUAGCAUUCAUUUUAUCAGGUUAUAUAAAAUGCAUUUGAAGAAUAGGAAGCAUAAGUUCUUUUUGCUUUCAUAUGUGUUCAUUAUUUAUAACAAAUCUCUAUCUCCCCUCUCAGGUCUUUUGUUAUUUGAAUAAACUAAAUCACUCAUUGUUGUGAUUCCUUGCAGUUGACCUUCUAUUCAAUGUAUCAGAAGAUUCAGAUUAUGUCCGGACUAUUCUAGCUAAAGCUAUAGACAAAUGUCCUGACCUCAAAACUAAGGCUGCUGAGUCAAAUAAAGCAGCAAAGAUAGAUGCAAGAUCAAGUCAUUAUUGAAAGGAUGCUUGAUAAAACUAGGUCACCAGGACUACAAAUUGGACUAAGUUUAGCGCAACAGCAGUACAGGUUAUUAACAGAGACCAUCUACAGCAAGGAAAAUCACUUAUAGGUCCUUGUCACACAGUGGAGCUGGUGGUGGUGGCAGCUCAUAUUCAGAAAUAUAAGCAUUGUCUGCUAUGAGGAAGGCAUGAAUUAGUUCCUCUAUCAUAGUCUAACAAACACUAACGCUGAAGUAUUUGUCUUAUUGCAUUAUGUAAAAAAGUACCUAUUUUUAUCUUUCGACUUUUCUGUCUUUUUUUAAAAAUUGUCUCCUACACGUUAUUCAGCAUAGUACCUACCUUAGCAGUAUUGGAAACUCCUAAUGAAGAUAUUUUUCAUGAUAUAAAAAAUGUCAUGUAAAA